rnacentral:rRNA from 1 species
GUCUAUGGCCAUGCCACCCUGAACAAGCCUAAUCCCAUCUGAUCUUGGAACCUAAGCAGGGUCGGGUCCGGUUAGUACUUGGAUGGGAGAUCACCAAGGAAGACCAGGUACUGUAGGCA